rnacentral:rRNA from 1 species
GAUGAACGCUGGCGGCAGGCCUAACACAUGCAAGUCGAGCGGUAGCACAGAGAGCUUGCUCUCGGGUGACGAGCGGCGGACGGGUGAGUAAUGUCUGGGAAACUGCCUGAUGGAGGGGGAUAACUACUGGAAACGGUAGCUAAUACCGCAUAACGUCGCAAGACCAAAGAGGGGGACCUUCGGGCCUCUUGCCAUCAGAUGUGCCCAGAUGGGAUUAGCUAGUAGGUGGGGUAACGGCUCACCUAGGCGACGAUCCCUAGCUGGUUUGAGAGGAUGACCAGCCACACUGGAACUGAGACACGGUCCAGACUCCUACGGGAGGCAGCAGUGGGGAAUAUUGCACAAUGGGCGCAAGCCUGAUGCAGCCAUGCCGCGUGUAUGAAGAAGGCCUUCGGGUUGUAAAGUACUUUCAGCGGGGAGGAAGGCGAUAAGGUUAAUAACCUUGUCGAUUGACGUUACCCGCAGAAGAAGCACCGGCUAACUCCGUGCCAGCCGCCGCGGUAA